UCAAGUUCAAACAUAUCCAUCAUCUUCCUCCGCAAUUCAAAUCAGGUUCAUUCUUUUCUUUUCGGUUUUAAUUUGUUCCAUCGUAGCCGAUUCAGUUAGUUAGUUUUCUUAAUUUUUGGCUUCAGUCUAUUUUUCUACAACUAUAUAUGUGUUAUGUGUGUGCCGUGUGGAGAUAAGGGAGAGGAAGAAGAUUUGAGAAAGUGGGUUUUGGGUUUCUUUGUUGAAAACUAUGUUUGUUUGUGAGGCUCAGCUUCUGCUCUUCCCGAGUUACUUCAUGAAAAGCCAGUGAUUUUAUUGGAUUAUAAUUCCUAAUAGUGGUACAAGAACUAGAGAUCAUCCGUCGCCUUUCAUCACCUACCGCAACGGCCUCCACCCUGCCGGCGCACAGUUCGUUUCCAAAGACUUCAGGUAUCGAUGCCCACGAUGCAAGUGUGGGACUGUUGCGGAAAUCCGUGUUUUCGGUCCAACGAAGAAAACCCAAGGAAAAUUAUUUUGCAAUUGCCGAGUUGGAGCCUGUGAUUUGUUCCCUUGGCUUGAUCCUGUGAGCACUCGUUUCGGCGAGUGGAGCAAUGAUGGGGAUGAUGUGAACGAUUCGGAGGUUCAAUCUGCUGCAUUUGACGGAGAGCUACUCAAAGAAACAAAGGGGGUUGCGGAUGAAAUGUCUCAAUUGUGAAGGUGGUUGUGGAAUAACUACGUUAUGAAAUAAAAGCCUUCCGAACAACAUUGACGUAUGUCAAGCUUCUCAUGGUUGUUGUUAUGGUGAUUACCAUACCGAAGGUCUUGUUUUAAGAAAUUGGUAUAUCUUCGACUCAUUUGGUAAUGGUUCGUCUGCUCUCGUAGUAGCAUGGUAGAUUUCAUUGUAGUUGUAGGUGGGUGUAAAGUACCGGUGUUGUAGUAACAGCAGGGGUAGUAAAGUUGUGGCAGUAGCUGUAAUGUGUUUUUUUGAUUUGUAAUACAAUUCACCGUAAUAGUCUGUGUAGACAGCAUAUCAUCUCGUUCUUUAUUUUUAUAUAUUACAAUG